rnacentral:misc_RNA from 1 species
GCUUUCUUUGUUGUUUAUAGAGAGAAGAAUUUGGUUACUACUAUCAAGGCGUUCCACCAUUUUCACUAAUUUUUCUCUUAAAAGAAUGUCAACUUCUACUGCUUUACAGUGAAGACCAAUUUUACUCUUUUCAUCGAUAUUCCAUCCUCCCUGAAAUGGUGGAAAAUGCAUUUUUUUAGGUUGACAAUGGAGCAGGGUUGG